GUCGCUACCCGAUCUGCGGUGCCUACCCGAUUUGCGCGCGCAUGCGCAGAGCUUAACUAGUACGACCCUGCACGAUCUGCGUUUUUUUUACUUUGCGACACGAGUCCCCAUCCGAUUUGUCUCGCGCACGCGCUCUCUGCUUAAUUAAAAUUCAUUUCACGACGCUGCCCGAUUUGUUCUGCGCAUGUCUAAUGUUUUACGAUACACAUCAUUCGUCAGGUUUGACUUGUACUUGCGAGUCAUUUUUGUGUUGUCGUUUAUCUCCGUCUGUAAGUGGACUUGUUACUGGAAAAGAUGGAAACUUUUGAAUUUUAUAACGUCUUGGAAGAUGUGUCACCUGAAAAAUUUAACUCCAGUCGAAUGAAGAGGGAGCGAAAUGAAAAUGCGACGUGUGUCUGUGAACUUUAUAAUGGACAUGUACAGCUUUUUGAUGCCCAGUGGUAACCAGCCUACCAUGUGGCUCAACAGAUGCCAGUGUACCCGAUUACUGAGACACAAUUGGAUGUUCUUUUCUUCUGUUUUAAGAUUCCCAGUUUGGGAUGAUCUGCAGUUCAUGUUCAAUUUGCUAUUUCUACUGUUACAGUGAAGUAGAAGAGUCCGGUCGUGUUAUGGGGCAGCAGUUGAAGAAGAAGGAAGGAGAGAUGUGUGCCAUGUUGAAGUAUCGGCUGGUCCUCCUGCCCGCUCUUCUAGAAUCUUCCAUCUAAACCUCUGCUCUGAUCUGCUGUGCCUUUGCCAAGUGAUCACGAGUUUAUUGCAGUGGUGCCCCCCUGCGUCUCCACCGUCUGUUACAUCAACUCCAACUGCCUGUGACAGAAGAAAAGUUCACAAGACGUCCUGAAAUGGAAUUGUGAUUGGAGUGAGAUGGCCACAAUUAUGUAUGCUGGGAUGUGCAGAGGGGGCUUUUUGCGCUUUGGCUUGGGACCCCCAGAGGUUUAUUAUCUCCAGUGUCCUUGAAGGCUGCAAGUUUGUCUUUGUCCCCAGCCAUUUGACCAGGCAGUGUAUUUAU